GACGAACGCUGGCGGCGUGCUUAACACAUGCAAGUCGAACGGAAAGGCCCUGCUUUUGUGGGGUGCUCGAGUGGCGAACGGGUGAGUAACACGUGAGUAACCUGCCCUUGACUUUGGGAUAACCUCAGGAAACUGGGGCUAAUACCGGAUAGGAGCUCCUGCUGCAUGGUGGGGGUUGGAAAGUUUCGGCGGUUGGGGAUGGACUCGCGGCUUACCAGCUUGUUGGUGGGGUAGUGGCUUACCAAGGCUUUGACGGGUAGCCGGCCUGAGAGGGUGACCGGCCACAUUGGGACUGAGAUACGGCCCAGACUCCUACGGGAGGCAGCAGUGGGGAAUAUUGCACAAUGGGUGGAAGCCUGAUGCAGCAACGCCGCGUGCGGGAUGACGGCCUUCGGGUUGUAAACCGCUUUCGCCUGUGACGAAGCGUGAGUGACGGUAAUGGGUAAAGAAGCACCGGCUAACUACGUG
rnacentral:rRNA from 1 species